rnacentral:rRNA from 1 species
CCUAUGGGUGGCAGCAGUGGGGAAUAUUGCACAAUGGGGGAAACCCUGAUGCAGCAACGCCGCGUGAGUGCAGAAGUAUUUCGGGAUGUAAAGCUCUAUCAGCAGGGAAGAAAAUGACGGUACCUGAGUAAGAAGCCCCGGCUAACUACGUGACAGCAGCCGCGGUAAUAAGUAGGGGGCAAGCGUUAACCGGCUUUACGGGGUGUAAAGGGAGCGCAGGAGGCAGUGCAAGUCUGGAGUGAAAGCCCGGGGCCUAACCCCGGAACUGCUCUGGAAACUGUGCGGCUAGAGUACUGGGGGGGCAGGCGGACUUCCUAUUGUAGCGGUGAAAUGCGUAGAUAUUAGGAGGAACACCAGUGGCGAAGGCGGCCUGCUGGACAGUAACUGACGUUGAGGCUCGAAAGCGUGGGGAGCAAACAGGAUUAGAUACCCCAGUAGUC